AACGCUUGCUAGAAAUCGUGUCCUGACUACUCCGUACUUCGGGCCCCUUUCACCUUUUCUUCACCUUGAUAUGAUCAUAGUUAAUGAAAAAAAAAAAAGAAAAAAAGAACAAGAAAGAAAGAAAAAAUCUCAAGAUUACUUUCUUGGGAUAUCUGCGCAGGAAAUAAUCCGCUGGGAUGCGAUAAGCCAGAAACAGGGCGACGCGGCAUGAAAUUCUGCAAAUUCUGCAGUUUUGAUCAUCUUCGGAAGGAAUGCCCCAGCUUUCUUUACCUUACUUGCCUCCGUCGAGAUGCGCCCGAGACACCAGGUAGCACCCUGCGCUGCGUCCUUCAGCAGUAGUGUUACUUGUGGAGGUAAAUAUCAGUUGCUGAUGGAAAGUCGUUGAACUUCUGGGCAUGGUGGCACACGUAGCGCCCGCAUUAUUACUAAAUUACUCCGUACUUAGCCGAUGACGUCUGUCGUCUCCGUUUGCAGGAACGAUUUGCCUACGUAUGGACAGCCACCAGCACUGCAAUGGGCCCUGGAAUGGUUUACUUGUCUAGAGAGGGGUUUUCCCAUCCACUGCGCGUAGAGGUUCAACAGAUGCCCAUUGGUCUUAAUCUCUUUGAACUCCGGCCCAGUAUCAGAUAUAACAUGUGGAUUUGAGAGUGGUGGCUAAAUGCAAGGGUUGUGGAAACAGUUGACGUCUUUGCAGCAGAGCUACACAUAUAUGUAGGGGUUGAAGACGCCGCUCGGUUCAACGUAUUGCACGGUAGCUGUAGACAGAAUACGCAAGUCCCUUUUGUGGAAUCGUAGGAAACAGAGGCAUGCCUCAUGUACGGAAGUUCAAUAGGGGAUGAGUUCGAUUAAAUGCCGCAAUGAGUAUUUUUCAAAUG
rnacentral:sRNA from 2 species